rnacentral:rRNA from 1 species
UCCUAAUUGAAAAUUGAAAUGUUUUCAUGUAGCAGGAAUUUUUAGGAAUCUUUGGUUAGUUAUUUAAAGGUGGAUAGGAGAUAAAUUUUGCACAUACCGCCCGUCAAGCAAAAAGCAGAGAUAUACAUUCAAGCAGUCCUAAACAAUUGUUCAAUGAGCGUGCUAAUUUGUGUUAAGUCGAAACAUGGUUGCUCAUCAGGAAUGAUGAGCUGGA